UACGUAGGGUGCGAGCGUUGUCCGGAUUUAUUGGGCGUAAAGAGCUCGUAGGCGGUUUGUCGCGUCGGCCGUGAAAUCUCCACGCUUAACGUGGAGCGUGCGGUCGAUACGGGCAGACUUGAGUUCGGUAGGGGAGACUGGAAUUCCUGGUGUAGCGGUGAAAUGACGCAGAUAUCAGGAGGAACACCGGUGGCGAAGGCGGGUCUCUGGGCCGAUACUGACGCUGGAGGAGCGGAAAGCGUGGGGAGCAAACAGG
rnacentral:rRNA from 1 species